rnacentral:ribozyme from 14 species
AAGAAAAGGAGAAAGAGAGAGAGAAAUGCAAAAGAAAAGGAACCCUUGAGUGAGUUCUCUCCUGUGACCUCUUCUUUUUCUUUCUUUUUUAAUGAUAAAAUUAAAAGUACGAGAGGUCUAGGCAGACUCGAAGGAUUAAAGAAAGAGAGAAAAAGUCACA